rnacentral:rRNA from 1 species
UACGGAGGGUGCGAGCGUUGUCCGGAAUCAUUGGGCGUAAAGGGCGCGUAGGUGGCCCGGUAAGCGUGCGGUGAAAGCUCGGGGCUCAACCCCGAGUCGGCCGUGCGAACUGCUGGGCUUGAGCACUGUAGAGGCAGGCGGAAUUCCGGGUGUAGCGGUGGAAUGCGUAGAGAUCCGGAAGAACACCGGUGGCGAAGGCGGCCUGCUGGGCAGUAGCUGACACUGACGCUAAGACACGAAAGCGUGGGUAGCAAACAGG